rnacentral:snRNA from 1 species
GUGCUUGCUUCAGCAGCACGCAUGCUAAAACUGGAGUGAUACAGAGAAGAUUGUCAUGGUAUCUGCAUAAGGCUGACAAACAAAAAUUAAAAAAAAAGAAGGAAGGA